UCCAAGAUUCUAUGAUGUAAAGUGUCUGAUACUUAUCUGUUGUUUUAUCAUCUUUAAUUCUUUAAUGAAUUAGUUACUGCCAGCUUUUAGGCGACAUCUUGCAGUUUAGGGCAUUCCUAUGUAUUUAGACUGUUUCUUUGGCACUUUGUUCCCUUUCUUGCAAGUGCAGCUGUGGUAUUUUGUUGAAACAUGCCCUACACUUUGCUGGUAGUCUUUUUUUAUUCAAAGAAUGAAUUGUGGUUACAUGUUUUUCAUGUUGACAUGAAAACAUUAAUGUAUGGCUAUGGCACAUAAAGUGCCUACAAUUAUUUUGCUGCCCAUGGCAAUAUUUUUGAAAUUUCUCCAAUUUGGUUGACUUACUAUUGCUCUUUAACCAAUGCAAUGCCUAUAUUUUUGUUGCAGUACCGCUGAAAUCAGGUGGGAAUGGACCAUGUGGUAGAGGCGAGGCUGUAGUUUUAUUUCCAGUAAUUUAGAUGUUUUGUUCAGAAGUCUGCUAGUAAAGACUGCUACGUUUAUGAUGAAGAACUUAGCCAUGUUGGUCAUAUUGAUCAUGAGUUACCUAUGUUGAGCUUAAACUAUCUUGUGUCCAACCAUCGCUGGGUAGUAUGAUUACUGUAAUGUAGGGUGGUUAAGGUCGCAAACUAAUACUUAUAUUGCAUGUGUCGAAGAUCCAUUCCAAUUGUACUUCUAGCGCACUAUUUGU
rnacentral:lncRNA from 7 species